CCCUAUUCUUGAGGAAGCCAAGCUAGCUCUUAGUGAUCAUCACUUCCUCUUCUAAAUGCUGUUUCUUUAGUAAUAUUAUAAUAGAGAAGCAUCUGAAGGAGAAGAACUGCAUCUUCUAGGAGACUCUAGUUUCAAGGUUAGAUCUGAACUUCAUUUCCCAUGGAAUUGGGUGUUUCACGGAAAUUGCUUCAAGAGAGACACAUUUAGAGGAGGGAGGAAGGGAGAGUAGGUCCAUGGAGAGAAUGAUUAUGGCAGAACCUGGGACAGAAAGGGACAUCACCACAGCUUCUGAGAAAGCCGAAAGAAAGACACAAAGGAUCUCGUGCUGUGAUUAGUCUGGGGAAAGACUGGUGAACAUGCUGAGCAGAAAUAUAGAGAAGCUACUGUAUCCUGGCAGUUGGUGGAAGCAGUCAUCAAGCAAUCCAGAAGAAGAAAGAGGAAGCAAAGCAGAGAACAGAGAACCGGAAAAAAAGGAGUAUCUAGAAGACUUCACUAUCUACAAAGAAUUCCUAUUUGACCUGGAAUUUGGCCUGGAUCUCCUCCAUCACGGUGGCAAAACCUUUUGCCAGAAGAGCAAGACUGAUGAAAUUCACUUAUGAAUAUGUACACAACAAGGUAAACUUAAAGUAAAUCAAAACAAUUUCAGAAGGGAGAGCGAGCAAGUUGGGGUGAAGUGAGUUAGAUCAGACAGGGUAGUUUAUGAGCUGCACUUUGAAGAUAGCUGGGGAUUUUAAGAGGAUAGAGAGAACAUUCCAGACUCAGGACAUAGAAUAUCUUAUAAGGAAAUAGCCAUUGACUGAAAUGGAGCGUGUGUGAAGGGAAAGAAUAAAUAAGUCUGGAAUGGCA
rnacentral:lncRNA from 1 species